UACAGAGGGUGCAAGCGUUAAUCGGAAUUACUGGGCGUAAAGCGUGCGUAGACGGUUACAUAAGUCGGGUGUGAAAGCCCGGGCUCAACCUGGGAAUGGCAUUUGGGACUGCAAGGCUGGAGUGCGGCAGAGGAGACUGGAAUUCCUGGUGUAGCAGUGAAAUGCGUAGAUAUCAGGAGGAAUACCGAUGGCGAAGGCAGGUCUCUGGGCUGACACUGACGCUCAUGCACGAAGCGUGGGAGCAACAGG
rnacentral:rRNA from 1 species